GAAAACAAUAUUGCCGUAGACAGCAGGUGCAAAAGCGUAAAUCCUGCCGAGGAAAACAAUGGAUAGCUUCCCUCUUUGUCUGCGUGCAAAGAGGUUUUUUUUAU
rnacentral:sRNA from 1 species